rnacentral:rRNA from 1 species
UAGUCCACGCCGUAAACGAUGGUUACUAGCUGUUCGGACUUCGGUCUGAGUGGCUAAGCGAAAGUGAUAAGUAACCCACCUGGGGAGUACGUUCGCAAGAAUGAAACUCAAAGGAAUUGACGGGGGCCCGCACAAGCGGUGGAGCAUGUGGUUUAAUUCGAUGAUACGCGAGGAACCUUACCAGGGCUUAAAUGUAAAGUGACAGGACUAGAGAUAGUUUUUCUCGGACACUUUACAAGGUGCUGCAUGGUUGUCGUCAGCUCGUGCCGUGAGGUGUCAGGUUAAGUCCUAUAACGAGCGCAACCCCUGUUGUUAGUUGCCAGCAUGUAAAGAUGGGAACUCUAACAAGACUGCCGGUGCAAACCGGGAGGAAGGUGGGGAUGACGUCAAAUCAUCACGGCCCUUACGUCCUGGGGCUACACACGUGCUACAAUGGGUAGGGGACAGGAGAGCAGCCACUGCGCGAGCAGGGAGCGAAUCU